rnacentral:lncRNA from 1 species
AGGAGAAAUGUACCAGUAACUAUCGUAGGAUCAGCUACCGCUUCCUCGUGGCCUAGGGCCAUAACUCUCCCUACUCCUCCAGCCAUCUCUUCUUUAGGGCAGUUCCUCUUGUAGUGGCCCACUUCGCCACUACCAUAACAAGCUUGGCCCAUACCGGCGUUAGGAACCUGGGCAGCCUGAGCUGUUGGAGUCUUGCAGAAACGAACUGUAUGCCCCUUCCUGUUGCAGUUAGAGCAUUGCAUCUCCUUGCAAGUGUUGGAUAAGGUGUCUAAGUCCAUAACUAUUUUUGGUAUGUACUUGACCCGACCCGGCAUGGUCCAUUUGGGUUGCAUGGCACCAUGCAAUUGGAUAAACUAAAUGAGAGAAAUAACACUUGGAGAUUAUUAAUAUAUUAUAAGUUCUAAUAUAUUAAUAAUAUUAUUUGAUUAGUUGAUCAAAGAAUUAAUUUGGAAUUAAUUAAGUGAUCAAAGGAUAACUAAUUAAAUACAUGGGUUGAUUAAGUAAAUCAUCCAUAUCUUGUAUAGUGGGCUAAAAGGCUCCAUGGAUCAUCAAGUUGGGUUCCACCCAUAGGAGGCUCCAUGGAUGCUCCAUGGGAGUUACAAACCCAUGGGUCAUGGAAAUGAAGAGUCAUGACACAUUAGGGUUUAACCCUAGAUGUGUCAACACUAUAUAAGUAAUAUGAUCUCCUCCCAAAUCGGUUACACACUAAGGAAUAAGGGGGCUUGGCCGAUUUUGAAGAGUGUGUAUUCUCUCAUAAGUUCUUCCAAGAGCAUUUGGUGUUGUGUGAAGCAUUUGAGGCAUCACCACUUGAGGUGCUAGGCUCACAAGGUUUCAAGGAACACAAGCAACAACAAGGUAAGUUAUUCUAUCUAUACUUUAUGUUAAAAUUGUUCCCCAUGUAUGCUAGAUAGGAUAUAACCUUGGAAUUCAACUUUGCAUGACAAAUUAGACAAACAUAGAUCCAAGGUUAUUAGGGUUGCAUGUACACUUAGGAAGUGUUAGAAUGCUCAAAACCCAUCAGUGGUAUCAGAGCCUAGGCUUGUUUGUUUGUUAUUUGUGCUUAAAAGUUGAAGAAAGUCGAAAAUCUUGCUGUCUGACUGAUGGACUCGGCGAGUCCAUGGGGAGGACUCGACGAGUUCAUGUGUAUCUUCAACCUACUCGGCGAGUAGGUUUAUGCACUCGGCGAGUAGGGUCGACAGAGUGCAGAAUUUCGACUUGUGUUGCUGGAAAUGGAUUAGAAUCAUUACCCUAAAAUGUUUUGGUACUUGAAAACUUAUUUUAGAAGGUGUAAUGUCUUUUCUAACUCAUUUACAACAACAAAUUAUCAAAAUUACAAAGAUUAAAUGUGAUUUUGAUUCUUGAAAGUGUUCAUAUUCAUAUUCUUGUUCUUAUGAUGUUUAGAUGAUCAUAGGAAUUAUUUGUAACCUAUGUGGUAGAUUAAUUCAUGAUCAUAAUGUGUUUUAAUGGAGUCCAUAACUUGUCCUCAAGUUAUGGAAAACCAAAAGUCUCUUGGAUUAAAAAACAUUAAAAGAACACAAGAGUUAGGAAAAAUGAAAAGUCCUCAUUUUAUUACUCUAUUAAACUCAUAAGUUACAAGAAAUGAAAAGUUUUGAAAGUUUACAAAACUUGCCCUCAAGUUUUGGAACAAGUAAAGUUAAGUUAAAACUUUAGUUCCAACCCCUAGAAUUUUAAAAGUUAAAAUUCAACCCUUAUACUUAUAUUAUUAUGAUUUAAUAAUUAUAUAUAUAUG